GACGGAGGGCGCAAGCGUUGUUCGGAAUUACUGGGCGUAAAGGGCGGGCAGGCGGUCUGUUAAGUCUCUUGUGAAAAUCCGGGGCUCAACUCCGGAAAUGCAGGAGAAACUGGCAGGCUAGAGACCGGUAGAGGCUAGCGGAAUUCCUGGUGUAGCGGUGGAAUGCGUAGAUAUCAGGAAGAACACCUGUGGCGAAGGCGGCUAGCUGGGCCGGAUCUGACGCUCAUCCGCGAAAGCGUGGGGAGCAAACAGG
rnacentral:misc_RNA from 1 species